UACGUAGGGGGCGAGCGUUGUCCGGAUUUAUUGGGCGUAAAGAGCGUGUAGGCGGUUCGGUAAGUCUGUCGUGAAAUCCUGAGGCUCAACCUCGGGCGUGCGAUGGAUACUGCCGGGCUAGAGGGUGGUAGAGGCGAGUGGAAUUCCCGGUGUAGCGGUGAAAUGCGUAGAUAUCAGGAGGAACACCGGUGGCGAAGGCGGGUCUCUGGGCAACAACUGACGCUGAGGAGCGAAAGCGUGGGGAGCGAACAGG
rnacentral:rRNA from 1 species